rnacentral:tRNA from 1 species
UCCCUGGCAUUCCAGUGGUUAAGAUUCUGUUCUUAAACUGCAGAAAGCGUGGGUUCAAUCCCCAGUCAGGGAA